rnacentral:rRNA from 1 species
UACGUAGGGGGCAAGCGUUGUCCGGAUUUAUUGGGCGUAAAGAGCGUGUAGGCGGCUUGGUAGGUCCGCUGUGAAAACUCGAGGCUCAACCUCGAGAUGUCGGCGGAAACCACUUGGCUAGAGUCCGGAAGAGGAGAGUGGAAUUCCCGGUGUAGCGGCGAAAUGCGCAGAUAUCGGGAAGAACACCUAUGGCGAAGGCAGCUCUCUGGGACGGUACUGACGCUGAGACGCGAAAGCGUGGGGAGCGAACAGG